CCCAGGGAAAGCAUCCAGCAUGCAGCAACAGCAACGGUAAUCCUAACUGUAAAUCGUGUACCUCUGAACCGCCCGAUCCACCUUGUCCGAACAUCAUGUGUGAAGGAAACAACUGUGACCACCGCUACUUUGCUCCAAACCCCAACAACAGAAAUCACUGGUGUGAGUGCACUGAAUCUACAAUGACUUCCACGACAAAAUCAACAACAGCACUAACGACAAAGAUGUCAUCAAGGGCAAAAUCAAAGACAACACAGUCGCCAUCAACAACAACAAAACCAACAACAGAGAUGUCAUCAACAGCAAAACCAACAACACAGUCAACAUCAACAGCAAAGACAACAACGCAGUCAACAUCAACAGCAAAGACAACAAGACAGUCAACAUCAACAGUAAAACCAACAACACAGUCACCAGGAAUUUUGACCACAGCCACUACUGCAACAGUUACCACUCAACGGCCAAGCACCAC